AUGAUCAUGGCUCAGAUUGAACGCUGGCGACAGGCCUAACACAUGCAAGUCGAGCGGCAGCACAAGUAAGUUUACUUAUGAGGUGGCGAGCGGCGGACGGGUGAGUAAUGCCUUGGGACCUGCCCAGUCGAGGGGGAUAACAGUUGGAAACGACUGCUAAUACCGCAUACGCCCUACGGGGGAAAGAGGGGGACCUUCGGGCCUCUCGCGAUUGGAUGAACCUAGGUGGGAUUAGCUAGUUGGUGAGGUAAUGGCUCACCAAGGCGACGAUCCCUAGCUGUUCUGAGAGGAUGAUCAGCCACACUGGGACUGAGACACGGCCCAGACUCCUACGGGAGGCAGCAGUGGGGAAUAUUUGCAACAAGGGGGAAACCCUGAUGCAGCCAUGNCCGCGUGUAGUGAAAGAAAGGGCCUUUCGAGGGUUAGGUACACAGCACCUNUUUCCAGGU
rnacentral:rRNA from 1 species